UGUUAGGAUAUUAAUAGUUAAGUUCUUUAAAUCCAAAGAAUUUGGCGGCAUUUUAUUCCAUUCAGAGGAACCUACCCCAUAAUUGAUAAUACACGAUUUGAUUAACUUAAUUUGAUUGUUUGUAUAUCUCCGUUAUCAGAAAAUCUUUUUAGAGUUUUAUAAUUUUCAAAAUUUUAAAUUGAAGAUAAUUUCAGGUCAAGGUGCAGCUAUAAUUAAGAGGAGGUGGGUUACAAUAAUUUAAGAUUUACGGUUUUAUAAAUAUAAAUUUUUAAUUAAGUUGGAUUUGAUAGUAAUUUGAUU
rnacentral:rRNA from 1 species